rnacentral:lncRNA from 1 species
AACUCUGGAUGAACAUCUGCAACCUGCUUUCCUCUAUCAACAACAUUUCUUUCUGUUACGAAAAGUAAUCUUGUCUAGAACCAUCUGCAAUUCCUUUACUAGGAAUAGUGAAGGUGCAAUUCUUGAUUCCACUGAAUGAUGAACACUCUUUGGACAUUAAAAGAGGCGCACUUUGAUGCAAAAAGAAAAUUCACUUUGGAUUUGGAAUAUUAGAAAGCUCAUUUUUCAUCCCUGGAAAUGAAGUUAAGAUUUGACAGAAAUUUUCUUUCUCAGCAAAAGAUGAAGAAAUCAGUCAGGUGAAAUUUAGCAUUUUGGUUGAUUAAAAUCAGUUGAAAGAAGAAGAAAAUAUGUAAUAAGCGACUAAAUUCUACAGCCUGGUCACCAACCAUGAGAAUUGUGCAUGGCUAAGUUGUUUAAAACAGUAGAAUUGACCUCUUCUUCUCUGUUGCAGGCAAAUUUAAUUGAUCCUUGUAUAAAGGGCACCUUGAAUGUGUUAACCUCUUGCAAGAAAGCAAGGAGCUGUAGAAGGGUGGUCCUAACAUCUUCGUGUUCUGCAAUAAGAUAUCGAGAUGAUGCUCAGCAAAUUUCUCCACUUAAUGAAUCUCAUUGGAGCGAUACAGAAUACUGCAAACGCUACAAUGUAACAAUGUUUCUAAGUGCAACUUAUAACUUUUCGUGUUGAAUCACAAUCUUAAAGCCUAAGCAGUUGACAUAUAUUUUGCAGCCAAAAAAUUUAUUUUAAUAUAAAAGGAUCUGGUUCUUAAUUAGUAACUGUAUUGGUGGAAUCUUCUUUCAGCUGUGGUAUGCCUAUGCAAAGACUAUAGCAGAGAAAGAGGCUUGGAAAUUUGCAGAAGAAAGUGGAAUUGAUCUAGUGGUGGUCAGCCCCUCUUUCGUAGUAGGUCCUUUGCUCGCACCCCAACCAACCAGUACGCUGCAAAUGAUAUUGGCCAUUGUAAAAGGUCAACACUUGAGUAGCUAAUCUGUUAUAUAAUGACAUUAGAAUGCUGUGUUCUAUCUGAUUUUGUGUGAAAUGGUGGCUUACAUUAUCAGCUAUGUCCGCUAAUCUAUAAAUGACUGAGUUCAAUUAUUGAUGCCAUUGAUCAGGUCUGAUUAAAGAACACCCGAAUACAACAGUAGGGUUUGUGCAUAUAGAUGAUGUCGUUGCAGCACAUAUAUUAGCAAUGGAGGAAAGCAAAGCAUCAGGCAGACUGGUAUGUUCAAGCUCAGUAGCUCACUGGUCCGAGAUCAUUGAGAUGCUAAGGAACAAGUAUCCAGCCUACAACUACAUAAACAGGCAAGAGAAACAUUUUAUACUUUUCUGUCCUGUUUUUCCUCUUAUGGAACUGGCAUUUGUUAUUUGUUUUGACUUUACUCUCUGAAUCAACCAGAUUUUUUCUAUUGGUGCCGUAGUGUCUCUGAACUUGACCUUCUUCUUAUAUAGUCUUGAGUGUUUUGUUUUCCAUGUUUAGGUGUAGCAACACAAAAGGAGAUGAUAAUCCACACAGCAUGGACAGCAAUAAAAUCAUACAGCUUGGGCUCCCACCGCUGAAAUCCCUUGAUCAAAUGUUUGAGGACUGCAUCAGAAGCUUCCAAGAGAAGGGCUUCCUCUAAGAUCAACCAAAUCUUCUGAAACGCCCUCUCAAUUCAAAGAUCCUAUCCGCUAGGAGUACAUGUACUGAUUUACCGACUGUUCUUGAAUCAUAUUGUCCUGCUAAAACAUAUUUUAACCAUUCAAAUAUAUCAGUAUGCCAAAUAAUGCUGGCCUGCGAAGCCAGGCUCUUGAUCAAAAUAUUGUGCACGACUCAAACUUCAAUCACGGCAGUGCUUGUUAAAUUCCCAUGCUAAAGUAAUCUUCAUUCAAAUAAGUAAUAUCUUGACUGAAAUAAAAUCACCAGACAUUCCAAAAAUUCAAUUCGGUAGUAAUAAAUGCUCUGCUAUUAAACCAAUUUAAAGAGGCGAGUGCCAUACACGAACAGUACAGACGUAAGAAACAGCAUAGGCCUUCGAUUCUUGCAAUAUCCAAAUGUCCUCCAACUUUUGCUGAAUUAGCCUAAUAAAAAACCACGAUUAUCAACAAUUGGUAGGGAAAAAAAAAUAUAAUCUGAAUAUUAAAGUAGGAUAAAAAAAAAACUUCCAGAGGACUGAGCAAUCCUUAAUACUUGUCACAUUUUAAGAUUCUCUUGAAUGAAUUAUUGCAGCAUGGAGGGUGGUACAUAAGCAAUCCUUCAUUACUUUCUUGACCAAAACGGGGCUUUUGCAGUAUUGAAGCUCAUGGAAUGCAAACCUCAAAACAGGCAUUUCUCAAUCUUCAUACAAGAGAGCAAAAUGAGUUCAACAUUUGUAAAUUGCUACUUGGAGAGGAUCGAUUGCAGGUUAUUCUAGCAGGCCCAAAUGGUGUAAGGCCGUUAAGCGCCCCGACUUAUCAAGGGGAGCCCGAUGAAGAGUCUCAAUUGAUGAAAAUUAGUGCUAAUUAAUUAGUUAGUGUACUAAUACCCCCGUCAGCAAUCUGCAGAAACACACACACACUCUCUCUACUUAAAGGGGGAUCCACGACCUAAUCCAAAAGGCAUGCUGACUUUCAGGUUACACCAAGGACCUUAAGUAGAACACACGCACCGAAGACCUUAAUUAGUUGGUGUACUAAUACCCAAAAACAAGAUAUUAUUCACCCUUUCCCAUCCUCAACUGCUAGACCCAAGAUUGGACCUCUACACCUAACAACGGGAAGAACUUUAAGAACUCUCUCCUGACCACCAAAAUAACCCUAGUGAUUUUAUUAAAAUACAAGUUUAAUUACUCCUAAAGUAUAUAUAAAUCUCUCAGACUUAAACGGUAGUAGACUUCCUCGUAUAGCUUUUUAUAUGCUAAUAUUUAGGACAUGAUACUAUUUUUUUUUUUUUCUUUUCUAAGUUGUUGUUUUGUUAGGAGGAAGGGGAUGACUUAGAUGAUUUGGAGGGAGGAAUUAUAAGUGUAAGGUCUUGGAUUUAAGACCUUUCACUUAAACUAAAAAAAAAAAAAAGAGUAGGGAUUUACAAUUUUCUCUUUGAGUUUGAGGAAGCCGGGGGGGUUUCGGCUUUUGACCAUCUCCAUCACUGGCUAACAACUAGACGCAGAUGGACGCAUCUUAUCACAGAAUCAUAUUAGCGACUCAAUUAAGUGAAACUCAAAACUGAGAGAAUUCAUAUAUAU